GAUGAACGAUGGCGGCGUGCCUAAUACAUGCAAGUCGAGCGAACGGACGAGAAGCUUGCUUCUCUGAUGUUAGCGGCGGACGGGUGAGUAACACGUGGAUAACCUACCUAUAAGACUGGGAUAACUUCGGGAAACCGGAGCUAAUACCGGAUAAUAUUUUGAACCGCAUGGUUCAAAAGUGAAAGACGGUCUUGCUGUCACUUAUAGAUGGAUCCGCGCUGCAUUAGCUAGUUGGUAAGGUAACGGCUUACCAAGGCAACGAUGCAUAGCCGACCUGAGAGGGUGAUCGGCCACACUAGAACUGAGACACGGUCCAGACUCCUACGGGAGGCAGCAGUAGGGAAUCGUCCGCAAUGGGCGAAAGCCUGACGGAGCAACGCCGCGUGAGUGAUGAAGGUCUUCGGAGCGUAAAACUCUGUUAUUAGGGAAGAACAUAUGUGUAAGUAACUGUGCACAUCUUGACGGUACCUAAUCAGAAAGCCACGGCUAACUACGUG
rnacentral:rRNA from 1 species